CUUUUUCCCACUACCAAAUUUUGCCUCCAAAACCCCUAUGAUGCAAUAAAAAAAACGGAGGAAGUAUAUAGGCAUGGGCGGACCCACUUAGUGUCAUAGUGGGUCCGGUGACACACUAUUAAUUUUGAAAAAAAAAAAAAAAAAACAAUUACACUCACUCACGCAUCUUUCCACUCCCAAAGACCCAGAACCCCUAAUUCCCUUACAACACAGCCACGCUUCCCCUAAUCCCCCCUCUCUCUCUACUCUAUCCUCCAUGGCUCCAUUGAAGAAUUGAAGCUUCAAGCAUUCAAGCAUACUCGGCUAGUCGGCUACUCGCUAAAACUCCAUUGAAGGGGCGUUUGAGCUUUUUCUUCUCCACCGAAACAAUCUCAAAGGAGUCAAAGGGUCGAAAUUCUCCAUUGAAGGGGCUUCGUACUUUCACUCUUUCAGAGGCUCUGAGUCACGCCUCACGCUGAGCUUCGCUCCUUCAUUGAAGCAGCCUACUGCCUAUAGCCAGGUUAGAUCUUGAACUCUUUACUCUUGACAAUUUGACAAAUGGUGUACGAAUUUUUUGUUAAUGGAAGUAGAAAUUGAAAUGGGGGUUAAUCGUACUUGUAUUUGUGUAUUUAUUUUUGUUAAUCGUGUAUUUAAUUGUAGUUCUAUAAGCCUAUAACUAUUGUGUAUUUGUGUAAAUUGUGCUAUUUUAGGGAAUUAGGGUGGUUUACUGGCUUACUGCCUGUCUCACUGUCUGCCUUACUGGUUUCGGUGGUGGUGUAGGGAAGGGGUCAAGGGGAGGGAGUGGCUGUGAAAUUGGGCAAAAUUGGUUAUCAAAGACUCAAAGAGGACAACUUUACCUGUGACAAACCCUUUACACUAGUUGAUUUAGUCAUGUUUUAUAACUUGUUGAUGUUGAUUUGUUGGUAGAAAAAAAGUCAUUAGAGAGUAUGAUGGAUUAAUAAUAAUUUGACUUUAUAAAAGAAAGGUUAACGAAAAUGGGUAGUAGUUGUUUGUAUGAAAUUUCUUACAAUGUUCAUUGAUUCUGUUUUUGAUUGUAUGCUAUUUUUGUGAUAGUUGGAUUAAUAGAAAUGUUAUGCUUAUACAUCUUUAUAGUGGUGUAAAGUAGUUUUCUUGUUGGUUAUCAUUGUGGGAAAUUUGGAUAAGUCAAACAUUUAGAUUGAUUUAUCUCAUUCACCCUUUAACUUCAAUUUCAGAAUGAAAAGAAAAACAACUCGAGACAUUUCAAGUUUUUUUACUAAAAAAGUGAGCGUUUUCUUGGUAUUGUGCAUGUUCCUAAUACUAGUUCUUUGACUCUAAAAGCUGCUAUUAUUUUUUAAACAUUCACUUGAAAAUUUCAUUGUUGAUGUUCGAAAUGAUGAGAAAUUUUGGAAUUUGAAAAGUCUAAGUGAACUUUCUACGAAACUUGUUGAGACGGGAAAGUUUGAAACUCAUGAUCGAGUCUACUUACUUUUGAAGUUAGUGUUGAUUCUUCCCGUUGCAACGGCAAGUGUAGAAAGAGUAUUUUCUGGAAUGACGCAAGUAAAAGAUAAAUUGCGUAAUAGCAUGGGAGAUCAAAUGUUGAAUGAUUGUUUGAUUACUUAUCCAGAAAGAGAUUUGUUUUACAAUGUUAGCAUGGAUGAUAUUGUACAUCGUUAUCAAAAUAUGAAAACUCGUCGAGAGCAAUUGUAAUAAAAUUAGUACUUUUUUAGUUGUAAUAUGAAUUUGAAUUACUUUAUGAAAUGAACUUUUUAUGUA